UUCUAUUGUGUCUGCAGAGAACGUUGUAUUUAUUAUUGUAUAAACUCAGACUAGGCUGUGAGUAACUAUCACAAUACUCCCAUAUCCUCAUCCUUCUCAUUGCCCCCAGCGAAGAAUGGGUUCCCACAUGCAGCUAUCCGUCUGUCACUGGACAACGGUCUUAAAUGUUCACUUAUUUGGAUUGUAGCCUGGUCUGAGGUGGAGAACCAUGGUAGGAUUGAUUGUGC